GGCACUGUGGCGGAGUGGUUAACGCGACAGAUUCGAAUUCCUUUUAACUUCGAACUAAGUAAUCUGUUCCUCUUGUAGGGCGCAUGUUCGAAUCAUGCCAGUGUCG